AACGAACGCUGGCGGCAGGCCUAACACAUGCAAGUCGAGCGGACCCUUCGGGGUUAGCGGCGGACGGGUGAGUAACGCGUGGGAAUAUGCCCUUCUCUACGGAAUAGUCCUGGGAAACUGGGGGUAAUACCGUAUACGCCCUUUGGGGGAAAGAUUUAUCGGGGAAGGAUAGCCCGCGUUGGAUUAGGUAGUUGGUGGGGUAAUGGCCUACCAAGCCGACGAUCCAUAGCUGGUUUGAGAGGAUGAUCAGCCACACUGGGACUGAGACACGGCCCAGACUCCUACGGGAGGCAGCAGUGGGGAAUCUUAGACAAUGGGGGCAACCCUGAUCUAGCCAUGCCGCGUGAGUGAUGAAGGCCUUAGGGUUGUAAAGCUCUUUCAGCUGGGAAGAUAAUGACGGUACCAGCAGAAGAAGCCCCGGCUAACUCCGUG
rnacentral:rRNA from 1 species